CGCCCUUAUAGAAAAACUGACACAAUUCCGUAUUGUUAACAUAUAAUUAUUUUGAUCAAUUACUUAUUAAAAAAAAACUGUCCCACAAUUUAAAUAUUUUUAAAGUGUUAUUCAUUUUGAAAGUAAUAAUCCAUAAUUCUCAUUUAUGGCAACUAAACCUAGCUUUUUGACGUAAGCAGGUUAGGAGUAACCAACAUGUUCUUCCCUACCAUGUUCUAUUGAAUGCGCAAAGAGCAAUCUAAGUAUAAAAAAACCAAAAUCAAAACUUUUCCCGCGCAUUGAAUUUUUGGAAAUCUACAUUGUGUACACACGGAGAAAAGGUUUCAUGGAUAUAUUAUCAUUGUCGUCCGGUUGUUUAUUUUGACGUUACGUCGAUAAAAUUAUGCGAUUGAUGCAAACGGAACUUAAAACAAAAUGUUUUUGUUAUAAGUAUGGAGCUUAAAUAAUGAAAGCGAAACAUGGUUUUCAGGUUUUUUGUUUGGUAGUUACAUUUAGAACAACUAAGCAUUUUUUCACCUUAUCUCAGCUGUGCUGGUACUUUUGUUUACAAUUAUAUCAAACUUAUUUCGUAUACUGGCAUAUAAAGAAUAUUUUAUUCUAUUGAAG
rnacentral:lncRNA from 1 species